rnacentral:rRNA from 1 species
UACGUAGGGUGCGAGCGUUGUCCGGAAUUAUUGGGCGUAAAGAGCUCGUAGGUGGUUUGUCGCGUUGUUCGUGAAAACCUGAGGCUUAACCUUGGGCGUGCGGGCGAUACGGGCAGACUGGAGUACUGCAGGGGGAGACUGGAAUUCCUGGUGUAGCGGUGGAAUGCGCAGAUAUCAGGAGGAACACCGGUGGCGAAGGCGGGGUCUCUGGGCAGUAACUGACGCUGAGGAGCGAAAAGCGUGGGGGAGCGAACAGG